rnacentral:rRNA from 1 species
UACGAAGGGGGCUAGCGUUGUUCGGAAUCACUGGGCGUAAAGCGCACGUAGGCGGAUUGUUAAGUCGGGGGUGAAAUCCUAAGGCUCAACCUCAGAACUGCCUCCGAUACUGGCAAUCUCGAGUUCGGAAGAGGUUGGUGGAACAGCUAGUGUAGAGGUGAAAUUCGUAGAUAUUAGCUAGAACACCAGUGGCGAAGGCGGCCAACUGGUCCGAUACUGACGCUGAGGUGCGAAAGCGUGGGGAGCAAACAGG